GGCUUGGUGGUCUAGUGGUAUGAUUCUCGCUUAGGGUCCACCCUACAGCUACUGUUCUGCGAGAGGUCCCGGGUUCAAUCCCCGGCCAAGCCC